rnacentral:tRNA from 1 species
GUAUGUGGCUCAAGCGGUAGUGUGCUCGCCUGGCAUGCGCGUGGCACUGGGUUCAAUCCUCAGCACCACAUACA